CACAAACACUCGUGACUCCCGACACCAGGCCCCGCUCCGGGCUCAGUGUCUACCCAACAGCAUAGCGGAGGCCUGGCUACUCACGGUGCCAGAAUUCACAUAUUUCUUUUUCUUCAUUUUCUUUUUGGGGUUUACCACCUGCAGGAAAAAACAGUUACCAGGCCCAGCCCUUCCCUAACCUCCUAUUGAGCAAAGCAAGAUGACCUCCCACCUGCUGUCCUUCCCUCUUCCCCCUCUCCUGUCCUUCCUCCUGGGGUCUCUUCUGCCUGGAGGAUGCUGAGAGCCACUUAGGACCUCCUGAACUGUUCUUCCCGUGUAAGCUUGGAGACAAGGAAACUCAGGCACAGAGACACCAAGUGCUUUGCCAAAGGGCGCGGAGCUGGUCUGGGUAGUGACAGAAUUAGGAGCCAGGUUCCAGCCUCAGGCCCCUCGAUAAGAAAUGCCAACACAUUCCUUCACAAAUGUUUGCCAGGUGGGGUGGGAUGGGGUGCCAGUUCCUCUCCUCUAGAAUCUUUACUCCAGUGGAGAAAGAAGCUAUGUCCUCGGAGAGGGGACAAGGGCCACCAAGACCAGGGAGUCGGAAACGUGAAGGCGCUGUUCGAAGGAAGGACCAUUCCGGCGGGAGCAUCGCGGGGGGGGGGGGGGGGGGGGCGCUCCCUGAGCGGGAAGCACCGCAGAAAGACGUGGAGGGACAGGAAGGACCUGGGCGUGGAGAGGUGGAGGAGGGCAUCCCGGUCAGGAGAUAUUGGGGGGAAAGGAGCGCAGGACUGGGGAGCCACAGGGUGGAAGAGAUUAAAGGGGGCGGGCUGGAAGAGAACCUCCAAUGCCAACUAAAAUGCCGGACCACCACCCAGCAGCGAGCAGGGACUCUGAUGACCUCUGAGCUGAUGGGGGACGAGGUCACAGCAGGCUCUGGGAUGCCGGGGCCUGGUGGAGAUCUUCCUGCGAAGUGGCCCUGAAGAGACGCCCUGUUUAUCCUGAGGUUUCGUGCACUCCCCACCCGUGUACCAGCCUCGCCCGCCCUCAGGUUCCAUGAGGGGGACCAGCGCCCCCUAGGGGUCAGGCCAGGAACCUCCCAAGCCCUGGCCUGGAGUUCUAAGCCUGCCUAUUCCUCUCCCUCUCUUCACACCCCGAGUCCUCAGGGCCCCCAGCGCCAAUCUGGGGUCUGCCCUCCUGUACCAGGGGUCAGGGAGUGGCUCCCAGGAGCCAGCAGCUGCUCUGGCUCUGGGGAGACGACACUGAGACACUGCCUGCAACCAGAGGCAGCCCCUGCAUGAAUGAAGCCACAAGGCUGAGCCAGCAAGCAGGGCCAGAGAGCAUCGAUGGCCGAGUGGGCUCAAAGCGGGUGGGCAGAGGGAAGGGCUGGGGCCAGACCCUAGGGGCCUCAUGGGGGUGACAUGUGCGCCCACAGAUUGCAGGUCGCUGCGGCAGGGCACAGUUGGAGGAGCUGGGACUUCGCCCCAUAGGUCCGGCCCUGUAGGGUCUCGGCUGGGGUGGGCGUCUUUCUGAAUCUCCUCCCGUCCCCAGCGCCAGUGAACCAGGCUGCGGUGGGGGGUGGGGGGUGGGACUUACAACCAGGC